GCCAAAGGGAUAAAAGGAGAACUGGAAGGGAAGAUUUCAUGCUGUUGAUUUUCCUGGAGAAGCAUCCUGUGGCUGGUUUUCUGGAUAUGAACUUAGCUGUUGUUGUCAUCAGAGGAGCUCAGGUCCUCGCUGUCAACAGGGACGGCCGCUGUUCUCUUCCAGGGAGCUCAGGUCUUCGGUUCCUGGCUCCACUGCAGAUCCCUCAGCCCACCAGUGCAGACUUUCUGGCUUCCACCACUGGCCUUGGCCUUCCUGGUGCAGUUUCUCGAUACGGACUUGCAGGAGACAUUGCCAUGGGCUCCAGGCCUUCAGCUGGACUCUGCAGGACACUGCUGUGGGAUCUAAGGCCUCAGCUCCUGGCCUCCUCCGAUGGACCCCUGAGUAUUCGGGGAUUUGUGGAGAUUUGAGCUUGAGGUGCUCAGCUUCCCGCUGCCCCGAUCUCCGGCUUCGCUCAUCAGCCCCUGCACCCCUCAUGGGCGUGCUCUCUGGGGGACGAGCUCCAUCUGCUCUGGUCAGGGCUGAAGGGCGCCACUCUGGCCACGGAGGAGAGCCAUCCCUGUCGCCGUCUCUCCAUCCCCAGCAAAGACAGGCCUUACGCCGAGAGUCCGUGGCACAGGUGCUACGGGGCUGUCAGUAUGGUGAUGUUUGUCAAACAACCUCUUCUUGUUUGUAACCUGACUGUCCACAUUGGAGUUCUCAAAGAGGAAAGAGUGUUCUGACCAGAAAGGUCAAGUAUCGUGGACUUCAACUGAUUGGACAAGGCCCACCCCAGUACGGGAGGCAAUCUGUUGUACUCACUGUUCAAGAAUUUCAAUUUCUCUUGCUGAGCCAAAACCAAAAUUGUAAAUCAAACAAGGACGAGACAACAGCCCAGCUGAACCAUUGGCUGAGGAGGGCUGGAGAGCAGCGCCUGUGGACAUCUGCUGUUAGGCAUGAGCCAAGCCUUCCCAGGAGAACUGGAGCACAGACUCCUCAGCCUCCAUCACAGACCCAUCGGCCUCCUGAUGUGGACUCGCAG
rnacentral:lncRNA from 1 species